rnacentral:piRNA from 1 species
UGAUGAGCAUUUUAUUGAUUUUUUAUAUUU